CGAAGAACGGUCAAUAGCUCUCUGGAAAAGAACAUAUUUUCCUGUUGUGAAUAAGGAGAUUAUCCUCGUGAGACGAUGUUAAUAUGAGAAUGUCGUCGACAUAUCAGGCGAAAAAGGCACAGGUGUGACAGCUGUUGAGUGCCUUUCAUUCUAACCGGUCUGUGUAUGUGAUGGUUAGUAGGCCUGACAAACUUGAUCCCAACGACAGUCCAGAGAUUAGUUUGUAAAUGGAUCCUUCGAAAUGGAAGAUGUUGUUGUACAUAAGUAUGAAGCUUGGCACAAAAAAGAAACACGUCAAGAAAAACAACUUCAAUUAAAAGAAAUAUUAAAAAACUGUUGAGGCUUGAUAGGCAGGCUGACUUGUGACAAACGAACGCCCAACGCUACCGGAGCUUCACACUAUG